AAGAAAGCAGUGAAACGAAGAAAACAAAAAGAGAAAAUCAUAUCAUCUGAGGUUCAAAGAUAAAGAAAGUAACAUGUCAGGUAUUUGAGUACUACAGAAGACAAAAUAAAUCAGAGUGCAAAAGGAAUAAUACAGAGCUAGGAAUAAUAGAAAUUAUUGACAACAUCCUGGCUAUAAAAUGCAUUGGAAUGGAGAUGGGAAAAAAUGCAUUCUACCAUUUGAUAGCCCAGAAUGAAUAACUUUAAGAAAAUGUACAUGUAGUGAAAUAACUUUUAUGGAGAUAUGCUAAACUGGAUAUUAAAAGGAUUUAACAUAAGACGGAGCCAGAAAUAGUGACAAAACAAAGUGUAGCAGAAAACAAAAGGAACACUCUUGUGAAUAAAAAACCAUGUCGGAAAACAGAACUAGCUGUAUAAAAUGAGUUAUCAAUGCCUUCAUACCGAGCUUGGAUAUUGCAACAUAAACUGUAAUGAUAUUAUACAAAUGGGAUAAAUGAACUAUCAUGAAUAGACUUUAUAAUUUUCAUUCUAUAGAUCUGAUUUAGCAACGU